rnacentral:rRNA from 1 species
CACGUAGGGUGCGAGCGUUGUCCGGAAUUAUUGGGCGUAAAGAGCUCGUAGGCGGUGUGUCGCGUCGGCCGUGAAAACCUGCAGCUUAACUGUGGGCUUGCGGUCGAUACGGGCAUCACUGGAGUUCGGCAGGGGAGACUGGAAUUCCUGGUGUAGCGGUGAAAUGCGCAGAUAUCAGGAGGAACACCGGUGGGCGAAGGCGGGUCUCUGGGCCGAGUACUGAC